UCGUCAGCUCGUGUCGUGAGAUGUUGGGUUAAGUCCCGCAACGAGCGCAACCCCUAUUGUUAGUUGGUACCAUUAAGUUCAGCACUCUAGGGAGACUGCCUGGGUUAACCAGGAGGAAGGUGGGGAUGACGUCAAAUCAUCAUGCCCCUUAUGUGUAGGGCUACACACGUGCUACAAUGGCAAGUACAGAGAGACGCAAAACCGUGAGGUCGAGCAAAUCCCUUAAAACUUGUCCCAGUUCGGAUUGUAGGCUGAAACUCGCCUACAUGAAGCCGGAGUUGCUAGUAAUCGCGAAUCAGAAUGUCGCGGUGAAUACGUUCCCGGGUCUUGUACACACCGCCCGUCACACCAUGAGAGUUGGCAAUACCCAACGUCCGUGAGCUAACCGCAAGGAGGCAGCGGCCUAAGGUAGGGUCAGCGAUUGGGGUGAAGUCGUAACAAGGUAGCCGUA
rnacentral:rRNA from 1 species